CAAAACCACUGUGUUCUGUCGACUUACUGUUGACAGAACGUGGCGGUAGUCUAGAUGCAGCAGGAGAUUCAACAGCUGUAACAACACAUGGAGGCUACUUGGCAGCUGCAAAGCACAGAUGCUGAGUUUGCCAGUGACACUUCAUUUCCUGAGCAUAUCCGAGAAUGCAUCAGUCGCUGACAUCAAAGGUAUCAGAAACCUCAUUGCAAGGGACGAGAACUGACCUGGAAAAGUAGGUGGUUAAUUGAGCUGGCCACUGGAAAAUGAGCCAUUCUUUUGAGGGGGAACCUGCUCCCAAAGUUAAAUGGUGAGUGUGUUUUGCCUCCCUGACAGCUAUCACUGCAUAAAACCUCACUGUCUUGAAGCAACCUUCCUGGAAAUUGGAGAAGGAAUAUAAGUUGCAUGAAGUAAAAGUUUGGGAGCAGACACCAGGAAGCUGCUUUCUGUUCACGUUGCUGGAGUGCUUGCAGCCACCCUGCAAAUUGCUCUUUCAAUAAUGAGCCUGCUUAGGUUAAGAAGCAUGGAGCAUUCGGUCCAUGCACAAGAGGAGACUGGUGGCUGGUGCAGGUAGCAGAGGAUGGAUGAAAGAGUUGGUGGAUGGGAUGUGCUGGUGAUGAAAGGCUGCAUCCCCACUUUCAGCUUCUUGAACAGUAGCUGCUGAUCCAGCCUCUUGAAUCCAGAUCCUCAAAAGCAGUUAGGAGCCCAAAUCCUGUGGAGAUGAAUGGCCCUUCCAUACUCUUUGUCUCAGGAGCAUUAUGGACUAUAUGGAGUUAAUGCUUGCAAAAGGAUUUGAGUUUCUCGGAUGGAACCUGCCUAUCUUGUGAUCCCCAUUACUAUGUGGGGGCAAAAUAACACUGUAAAACUCGUAUGUUGUUUUGCUGGUCUGUCACCCAUUUCCAUAGCCAUGUGAGCUGUAGUUGGCAGCCCUAAGCUUGUCAAUUUCAACAGCUUGCUGGAUGCCCAGUGUGUAGUGAAAGGUUGCUAAAGCCAUUCGUACUUUACAAUUACAAUACAAUUGUACUUGUCUGGUACCUUUCAGCCCAGACACUGUCUCCUUUAGAAGUAGUUAAUUCUAUAAGACU